GGCAUUAGCUUUGUUGAGCAGUCACCAGUCACAGUCAGUCAGUCCAGUCGGUACUCUGUAGGUCGUAGAGCCCGAGCGCGAUUGUGUUGUGAUAGUUGGGUUGCAGUUAUUAGCGCGGUUACACACCACGCUUGGGUGAGGCUUGUUUUGGUUAAUCGGUGUUGACUUCAACCUGCCUGUGGUCUGGCGACCUUACCCGACGACAUGGAAAACGUUCAACUAAAUUUCACAGUGGGGUCAUGAGAUUCAAGGAUUCUUUGUACUUACAGCGUCCGGUCAUCUCAAGGAUCUUGCCGGGAUGCUGCCUUCUAUUCCUUACUUACUUCCUGAAACUGCUCAUCUGUUGUCCCUCCAUGUGAAGGAGAUCUUCAGAGAUCUUCAAUCAGUGACCUGGAAGCAAGCAGCUAUUCUUCUUGCUGUAUCAGCUAUUCUUCCUUCAUUAUUUCCUGAGUGAACUGGGUAUGGAGUGGAUGGGCCAGCAGGAACUCAUGCAGCAUAGAGCUCUGCACAAUUAACAUGGCAAAAAAAACACCUAAGCAAAAAAAGAUGUUUAACCUUUUUUAGGUUAAAUUUGUACUGUUUUAUUAUUUGUUGAAUUUUUAAUUGUUUUUGUACAGUUCCUAUUUAAUUUGAUAAUACGAAAACCAUCUUGCACCAAUUGUUUCAGAUAAUCAACGCACUGCUGUAAACAGUCCUUUUACCUCUAAUCAUAAAGAUCAAUAGAACAUAGAUUUAAGCAGUAUUACAUAUUAAAUAUUUAGUAUAGAGAAAUAAGAAAAUAACAUUUAUUUCUUACACAAUUAAUCACAAUCAAUACGAAAGAGAGGGUUUUAGUUUUGAAAUAUACUACAUCAAUUAAAAAUGUAUUAUUUUAUUUAGACAAUAUUAAGGCCAAUUAAAUUAAUAAAACUUAAAUGUGACCAAAUAACAUGUCUUGUUUUUGGUCUUGUCAAAUGAGUGACAGUUUUAAAAGGCUUAAACUUUAGAAGUCCAUUUAUAAUAAUUUGUAAUCACUACAUGAAACUGAACAUUGGUAUCAAAUGAAUUUCUGAAGUGAGCAGUAUAACUUCAUAGCAUGACUUUGGUUUAUAAAGGUAAAAAGUCUUAACAUAGUUUACCUUAUAAAGGUCCUGCUAAUAUUGUAUAUUCAGAUAACUACUAUAUAAUGUACAUGGAAAUGGGCAAGAGUGGAAUGGA
rnacentral:lncRNA from 1 species